AUGCAAAGAGAUGUGAGAGAAAAUAGUUGGAAUAUGCACUUGAUAUAAUUCUAUCUAGUGAUAGACAAGCAGUCCAAAUGGAUCACAAGGUCUAAGUGGACUUAAGAGCAAAAAGUUGUGAGUCACUUUUCAAUAAACAGUCGAAAGGCAAA